GCAGAGCAUCCUACGGGAGGCAGCAGUGGGGAAUAUUGCACAAUGGGCGCAAGCCUGAUGCAGCCAUGCCGCGUGUAUGAAGAAGGCCUUCGGGUUGUAAAGUACUUUCAGCAGUGAGGAAGGUGGGUAUGUUAAUAGCAUACUCAUUUGACGUUAGCUGCAGAAGAAGCACCGGCUAACUCCGUGCCAGCAGCCGCGGUAAUACGGAGGGUGCGAGCGUUAAUCGGAAUUACUGGGCGUAAAGCGCAUGCAGGUGGUUUGUUAAGUCAGAUGUGAAAGCCCGGGGCUCAACCUCGGAAUUGCAUUUGAAAACUGGCAAACUAGAGUACUGUAGAGGGGGUAGAAUUUCAGGUGUAGCGGUGAAAUGCGUAGAGAUCUGAAGGAAUACCGGUGGCGAAGGCGGCCCCCUGGACAGAUACUGACACUCAGAUGCGAAAGCGUGGGGAGCAAACAGGAUUAGAUACCCUGGUAG
rnacentral:rRNA from 1 species